rnacentral:rRNA from 1 species
GGGAAUACUGCAAAGCUAGGGAGUGGGAGAGGUAGACGGUACUCGGUAGGAAGGGGUAAAAUCCUUUGACCUAUUGAUGACCACCUGUGGCGAAGGCGGUCUACCAGAACCACGUCCGACGGUGAGGGAUGAAAGCUGGGAGAGCAAACCGGAUUAGAUACCCGGGUAGUCCCAGCUGUAAACCAUGCAAACUCAGUGAUGCAUUGGCUUGUGGCCAAUGCAGUGCUGCAGGGAAGCCGUUAAGUUUGCCGCCUGGGAAGUACGUACGCAAGUAUGAAACUUAAAGGAAUUGGCGGGGGAGCACCACAAGGGGUGAAGCCUGCGGUUCAAUUGGAGUCAACGCCAGAAAUCUUACCCGGAGAGACAGCAGAAUGAAGGUCAAGCUGAAGACUUUACCAGACAAGCUGAGAGGUGGUGCAUGGCCGUCGCCAGCUCGUGCCGUGAGAUGUCCUGUUAAGUCAGGUAACGAGCGAGAUCCCUGCCUCUAGUUGCCACCAUUACUCUCAGGAGUAGUGGGGCGAAUUAGCGGGACCGCCACAGUUAAUGUGGAGGAAGGAAGGGGCCACGGCAGGUCAGUAUGCCCCGAAACUCUGGGGCCACACGCGGGCUGCAAUGGUAGUGACAAUGGGUUCCGAAUCCGAAAGGAGGAGGUAAUCCUCAAACACUACCACAGUUAUGACUGAGGGCUGCAACUCGCCCUCACGAAUAUGGAAUCCCUAGUAACUGCGUGUCAUUAUCGCGCGGUGAAUACGUCCCUGCUCCUUGCACUCACCGCCCGU